CUCUCUCUCUAUCUCUCUCUCUCUCUGACUGAGUGAAACUGCCAAGGAAGCACUCUGUUUUUCCAGUCCUUGGCUUUCUUCAAUUGGGGUCUUCCACAGGAUCCUUCAAAAGUUAGUUUGGUAUGGGGGCGUGGCUAGCCCACAAUACAGAAGGAGGAGGAGGAAGAGGAGGUACGACAUCUGCAAUGUGCGUUGAUGAUUGCAUGAGAAUGUGUAUGAAACUAGAGCGGGCCACAAAAUCAUCAUGUGACCAAGGUUGCAUGCUGGGAUGCAAACAGCUGAGAGGAAAAGGACCUAUAAAGCCACCUGCUGCUAGUGAUUGAUAUAAUAUAUCAACUGCAAAACACGGCAUGCUGUUGUUGGUCGCUAUUACUGUUCUCCAUAUAUGGAAGUUGUAUUGUAUUGUAUUGCAGAAAUUGUUAUGAACUUGGCCAAAGUACGCAGUUCCUUUU